rnacentral:lncRNA from 1 species
AAAAUAGACUAUAUGUAACUAUUAAGAUUGUGAUAUAUAUUUUUUUUUUUUUUUAUUAAAUUAACUUGAACUGUUGUACUUCAUGAAAAUCUGCACAAUUCAGAUUUUGAGUGUUGUUUUUUAGUUAGAAAUAAAUCAAUGCAAAACUUUUGUUGGACAAGAAAUCCACACUGCCAAAAUAUCAAAAUAAAUGUCGUAAAAUUUGAAUUAAAUUAUUAUUAUUUUUUUUUUAUCAUUUUUAAUGAUUAGAUAGAAAUUAAAAGCAUGAACAGCUGUAAGUUUUUGUAGAUUAGGAGCAGUUACAAGACAAUGACAAUGGUCAGCAAAUGGAUAUGAUCUAACCCUUUCUCUAUCAUAUGUAUAACAAUGACAGUUCUACUCAUUCAUUGAGCCAUACAAAUGUUCCUUUUAUCAAUUCUACUAAUAUUUUCUUAGGGGGUGGAGACGGAUGCUUAAGUACAUAUUUCUGAUUAAUUCCAUAUUUGGCGCAGACAGGGAAAGUUGUAUUUUUUUAAACAAGUUUGUGUACAUCAAGAAUUACAAGUAUUUGUGAUUUCAUCGUGCAUUUUUACUGUUAACAGUUUCAGUCAUAAUCAAUAUAUUUGUGUAACAACAACUAAUACGCAAGACACUUGCCACAUUAAUUUUUUGUAAGAUGUAUUUUAUUUCAUUUAUAUACUGUUUAAGUACCAUGUUUAUACUCGUGUUGACGUUGAUCUUUGAUAAAGACAUAUUUUUGUAGCAGGUUUAGAAAAUGAUCAGAUUGUUACCAGUUUUAAAUAAUGUAUAAAUAUCUGAUACAUGUCAAUUUUAUUUCACUGUAAUAAUUUGCUGUUUCAAAAUCUAAUGCAUUCUGG